UCUUAGUUGGUAAAGAAUCUGCCUGAAAUGCAGGAGACCCCGGUUUGAUUCCUGG
rnacentral:tRNA from 1 species